ACAGACAGCUUGGAGACUACAGGGUCUGUUUGAAUAAGAGACUGAAGAACUUUUGGGGACAGGACUUUUCCAUAAGCAGAUGGAGUACUCUCCCAAUCAGAUCAUGCAAGAAUAAUAGGAAGGGAGGUGUGGAACCAUCUUAAAAGAAAACGUCCUAAUAAGAAGAUAAGGUGACCGAAUAAGGGGAUUACUUGGCAGAGAUAUGAGAGAACUGGGUUCUUGACCCCACUUUGCCAUGAACUUGGGUAAGUUACUAAGUCUGUCAGUAUCAUGGUUCCUUGUCUGUAUAACUAGCAACCUUUACAGAGAGCUUCUCUUCCAAUGUUGAUACUUUUUAUUUCUAAGGAUAUAUUUUUUAAACAAUUUCUCUUACAGUUUUCUCAAAAUUAAAUAGUAUUUUUUCAGUGAUAAAGUGAGUAUACUGAGAAUUGAAGAGAUGGAAAAUACAGUUAUGUCUCCCAUAAUAAAUGGGUAAAAAUGCCCAAGCAUCAAAACCGUGGGCUGCUCUAACCUGGAGAGAUGUCUGAUGGUGACAUGAAAAGAUGCACUUUUUAGGAAAAAUCUCAGCCUGAAAUUUAUUCUCUUGCCAAAAUUCAGAGCAACUAUGUUGUUUAACACAUAAUUACAGAGUAAUUUCUUUUUAUGUCAUUUUGACUAUUUCAUUUUAUUUUUGG